GGUGAGGUAACGGCUCACCAAGGCGACGAUGCGUAGCCGACCUGAGAGGGUGAUCGGCCACACUGGGACUGAGACACGGCCCAGACAACUACGGGAGGCAGCAGUAGGGAAUCUUCCGCAAUGGACGAAAGUCUGACGGAGCAACGCCGCGUGAGUGAUGAAGGUUUUCGGAUCGUAAAGCUCUGUUGUUAGGGAAGAACAAGUGCAAGAGUAACUGCUUGCACCAUGACGGUACCUAACCAGAAAGCCACGGCUAACUACGUGCCAGCAGCCGCGGUAAUACGUAGGUGGCAAGCGUUGUCCGGAAUUAUUGGGCGUAAAGGGCUCGCAGGCGGUUUCUUAAGUCUGAUGUAAAGCCCCCGGCUCAACCGGGGAGGGUCAUUGGAAACUGGGAAACUUGAGUGCAGAAGAGGAGAGUGGAAUUCCACGUGUAGCGGUGAAAUGCGUAGAGAUGUGGAGGAACACCAGUGGCGAAGGCGACUCUCUGGUCUGUAACUGACGCUGAGGAGCGAAAGCGUGGGGAGCGAACAGGAUUAGAUACCCUGGUAGUCCACGCCGUAAACGAUGAGUGCUAAGUGUUAGGGGGUUUCCGCCCCUUAGUGCUGCAGCUAACGCAUUAAGCACUCCGCCUGGGGAGUACGGUCGCAAGACUGAAACUCAAAGGAAUUGACGGGGGCCCGCACAAGCGGUGGAGCAUGUGGUUUAAUUCGAAGCAACGCGAAGAACCUUACCAGGUCUUGACAUCCUCUGACAACCCUAGAGAUAGGGCUUUCCCUUCGGGGACAGAGUGACAGGUGGUGCA
rnacentral:rRNA from 1 species